rnacentral:rRNA from 1 species
UACGUAGGGCGCAAGCGUUGUCCGGAAUUAUUGGGCGUAAAGAGCUCGUAGGCGGUUUGUCGCGUCUGCUGUGAAAACCUGAGGCUCAACCUCGGGCUUGCAGUGGGUACGGGCAGACUAGAGUGCGGUAGGGGAGACUGGGAUUCCUGGUGUAGCGGUGAAAUGCGCAGAUAUCAGGAGGAACACCGGUGGCGAAGGCGGGUCUCUGGGCCGUAACUGACGCUGAGGAGCGAAAGCGUGGGGAGCGAACAGG